AUCGCUUCUUGGCCUUGUGGCUAAGAUCAAGUGUAGUAACAUUCCUUAACUCUAAAAAAGUUUGAAGUAUAUUUGUCCACUGGCAUCCUGUGGAGUUUGGUUCCAGGAUGCUCAAGUCUCUUACACAAAAUGGUGCAGCCUUU
rnacentral:snRNA from 1 species